rnacentral:misc_RNA from 1 species
CUUGAUGUUAUCCAGCUCCUUUUAAAUGCAUUAGCAGGACUUGCAUGACCAGCUCCAGUUUGAUACAUGUGUUAUCUGAGCUGUUGCUGUGAAAGCUCCCAAGGUCAUCUGCUUCUCAAACUGUCUGUGGACUUUGUCCCAGUGGACAAAUAUACCUUGAACUUGACCUCAAAUCAGGUAGGACUACCCGCUGAACUUAA